UUACGCACUCCUACGGGAGGCAGCAGUGGGGAAUAUUGCACAAUGGGCGCAAGCCUGAUGCAGCCAUGCCGCGUGUAUGAAGAAGGCCUUCGGGUUGUUAAAGUACUUUCAGCAGUGAGGAAGGUGGAUAUGUUAAUAGCAUAUUCAUUUGACGUUAGCUGCAGAAGAAGCACCGGCUAACUCCGUGCCAGCAGCCGCGGUAAUACGGAGGGUGCGAGCGUUAAUCGGAAUUACUGGGCGUAAAGCGCAUGCAGGUGGUUUGUUAAGUCAGAUGUGAAAGCCCGGGGCUCAACCUCGGAAUUGCAUUUGAAACUGGCAAACUAGAGUACUGUAGAGGGGGUAGAAUUUCAGGUGUAGCGGUGAAAUGCGUAGAGAUCUGAAGGAAUACCGGUGGCGAAGGCGGCCCCCCUGGACAGAUACUGACACUCAGAUGCGAAAGCGUGGGGAGCAAACAGGAUUAGAUACCCUGGUAG
rnacentral:rRNA from 1 species